UGAUGGAUAUAAGGGAUAAGUAUUUGUCUUUGACUCAGAGAACAUCCCGCAGCUGACACCAUGAACACUAAGCUUUUUGGUAUUGUGUUUCUGUGCCUUUUUGCCAUAUGUUUGGCAAAGCCAAUGGACAUCAACAGGGCGCCACAAGAGAGUUCUGAAGGUGAUAGCAGUGAGAGGUUCGUGAGGGCAGAAAAGUGCGGAGGGUGUUGCUGGGACCCCAGAUGCAUGGGAACUAUGCAGUAUUUCAGUUGUUGCUGAUGUUCUUCAAACACAACAAACCAUGUCAUCCACUAAAUAAAUUAUUGGAAUAAAACCAGUAAAAUAA